CCUCCGAUAGCUCAAUGGUAGAGCACCGGUGUACCUUAGCAGUUCUACCCCUCAACAUUGUGAUGCCGGAGACGUUGGUUCGAGCCCAACUCGGAGGA